rnacentral:rRNA from 1 species
UACGUAGGGGGCAAGCGUUGUCCGGAAUCAUUGGGCGUAAAGCGCGCGUAGGCGGCCCGGUAAGUCCGCUCUGAAAGUCCAGGGCUCAACCCUGGAAAGCGGGUGGAUACUGCCGGGCUAGAGUCCGGAAGAGGCGAGUGGAAUUCCCAGUGUAGCGGUGAAAUGCGUAGAUAUUGGGAGGAACACCAGUGGCGAAGGCGGCUCACUGGACCGGUUCUGACGCUGAUGCGCGAAAGCGUGGGGAGCAAACGGG